rnacentral:rRNA from 1 species
UAAUACGUAGGGCGCAAGCGUUGUCCGGAAUUAUUGGGCGUAAAGAGCUCGUAGGCGGUCUGUCGCGUCUGGUGUGAAAACCCGAGGCUCAACCUCGGGCUUGCAUCGGGUACGGGCAGACUAGAGUGCGGUAGGGGAGACUGGAAUUCCUGGUGUAGCGGUGGAAUGCGCAGAUAUCAGGAGGAACACCGAUGGCGAAGGCAGGUCUCUGGGCCGCAACUGACGCUGAGGAGCGAAAGCAUGGGGAGCGAACAGGAUUAGAUACCCUGGUAGUCCAUGCCGUAAACGUUGGGCACUAGGUGUGGGGACAGUUCCACUGUUUCUGUGCCGCAGCUAACGCAUUAAGUGCCCCGCCUGGGGAGUACGGCCGCAAGGCUA